CGCCACGGCAACGCAGCGACGGCCAAGCGAGAGUGAGACCUGAGGGAGACAACCGGAAGCAGCAUGCUCAGCGCAGGAAGAACAGCACCACAGGUCCGACUGAGACAUGAUGGAGGGUCACAUGAACACACACACUUACAGGUGGUUUACCUGAGCACAGUCACAUGACCUCCUCCUCCUCCUCCCUCUCUCCUCUCACACACAAACCGACCAAACAGCCCAGGCUGCAGCAUGUCUCGUUCUCCCCUCAGGCGGAGGAAGGAGGUGACUCAACAAACAGCCAGACUCUUAACGUCUGAGAGAAGCAGGUUUAAAUAGAACAAACCUGAGAGAGCUGAGAGGCACCAACUCCACCUGAGAGACAAAACACAUCAGAGCAGCAGGUGGAGCUGAUGUACUGACUCUCAGCUGGUGGUGGACCAGAGACUCACCUGGCGGUGGACCAGAGACUCACCUGGUGGUGGACCACAGUACAGUACAGUAUACAGUACAGUGUAUAUAUAUAUGUAUAUAUAUACUGUGUAUAUAUAUGCUACUUAGUACUUGUCCUCCAAUACAUCAGAGCAGUUUGGUGCAUCUCAUCACAUAGAAACUGUCCUGUUUAACAGACUACGUAAUUGUUUUGUGGGAUUUUGUUGUAAUAUUUCUAAAUAAUAGUAAUACAAUAGUAUUAGUAAAAAUAGUAAAAGUUAUGCAUUUACAUUUUUUUUCUUCUUCCCCCAUUUGGGGCAACCUUUAACUACAUCUAGAUGAUAAUACUGACAUACUUUGGCUUUUACUUGUAGUGGAGUAUUUUCAUAGUGAGUACUUUUACUGCAGUAAAGAAUCCGAGUACUUCUCCCAUCACUGCUGUGUACUCUCAGUAAUGUGUAAUAUUUCCUCGGUAUCUCUGCUACAAUAAACUCAUAAAUAAAUAAGCAAAAAUAAACAUUUAAACAGAAUAUAAAUAUGAAGUAUUUGCAGUAGUGACAGUUAUCAGUGAUCCACCUUCAGCCACUGUGAUACCACCUAGAGGCUGUUACCUCACCUGUCCACACGGGGGCGCUCAACCACCAUAAUAUUUAUACUUAACAUAUAUUCAUGUUUCCUUCUCUCUUCUAAAAUGUGACGAAUUAAUGUUAUUAUUAUUAUUAUUAUUUUUAUUAUUAUUAUUAUUUUUUUUUUAUUAUUAUUUUUAUUAUUAUUAUUAAACAAGAUUCACCUGCACACAAUAAAUCUGUUGAACCUUCACACAGUGACUCACUGUCUGAACACGCCCACACACUGUUAUGUUUCUGUACUCCUUGUAGUAGUGGUAGUAGUAUAAGUAGUGGCACUGGGAGUAACAGAAGGAAACAUUAGAUUCACUUAUAGUGAAAACAUAAAAAAAGCCAUAAAACAUAAAAAGGACAACAGAAAUUAAACAAAUCCAACAUAAAAUGAAUAAAAAGGAAAAACAUGACAGAGUAUGACAAUAAUAUAUUGCAUACAUUCAUUGUUUUGUGAGGAAUAAAUCAUUAACACAUAUUGUUCCAUUUCCUUCAUAAUAUGAAGAAAUUUGGCUUUUCUUGUGGUAAAUGUGAACACUCAGUGUCACACUCAGUCACUGUAACCGUAGCAACCAAAAUCUGACAUUUCUAUAGAAAUCAAAGGCUUCCGCCACACCUGAGGGACGUCAUCGUGUCGUCGGUGUAAUUGUC